GACGAACGCUGGCGGCGUGCUUAACACAUGCAAGUCGAACGGAAAGGCCCUGCUUUUGUGGGGUGCUCGAGUGGCGAACGGGUGAGUAACACGUGAGUAACCUGCCCUUGACUUUGGGAUAACUUCAGGAAACUGGGGCUAAUACCGGAUAGGAGCUGCUGCUGCAUGGUGGGGGUUGGAAAGUUUGGGCGGUUGGGGUUGGACGCGCGGCUUAUCAGCUUGUUGGUGGGGUAGUGGCUUACCAAGGCUUUGACGGGUAGCUGGACUGGGAGGGUGACCGGCCACAUUGGGACUGAGAUACGGCCCAGACUCCUACGGGAGGCAGCAGUGGGGAAUAUUGCACAAUGGGCGGAAGCCUGAUGCAGCAACGCCGCGUGCGGGAUGACGGCCUUCGGGUUGUAAACCGCUUUCGCCUGUGACGAAGCGUGAGUGACGGUAAUGGGUAAAGAAGCACCGGCUAACUACGUG
rnacentral:rRNA from 1 species